rnacentral:rRNA from 1 species
CUUGUACACACCGCCCGUCACACCACGAGAGUUUGUAACACCCGAAGCCGGUGGAGUAACCUUUUAGGAGCUAGCCGUCGAAGGUGGGACAAAUGAUUGGGGUGAAGUCGUAACAAGGUAGCCGUAUCGGAAGGUGCGGCUGGAUCACCUCCUUUCUAAGGA